AGCCUAAUUCCCAAAUCAACUUACUCUUCUCUAGUUCUUCUCUCUCUCUCAGCUCUCUCUCUCUCACACCCACACUCCAUCCCAUCUGCAACUACAAGCUUCCAUUUCCUCACCGCAUCGCUUUCCCUAACCUCCAGUUCCGACCACCACAAACCCCGACAGCCACUGCCCAGUGUCUUCGCUAGCACAACACUGCUGAACAUCGUCAGUUCCGGCAAGAUCGGCCUUUGUCUCGUCAGAAAACCCCCAAACUCUUCUCUUUCUAGCAUCACCACCAAACACCGAAAGCUUUCUUGCUGCUUUCAACACCCGAUGUCACAAUAAGAUAAAUGCUUUGCAGAUACGUUAGUUAAAAUCUUGGUCUUGAACAACUUCAUUUUGUGUGUGAAGGUUGUUGAGUGCAGUAUAUGUGGUUUCCCUAAUCUCGUACUUCGUUUUGCCUUCGUUGAGUUUUGAAGGUACUUUGAAGUUGUGUAUUCAAUUGUUUUUUAUGGUAAUGAUAUAUGAUGGUUUUACACGAUCAAUUGCUAUGUUGGUUAUGCAAAGGUGCAAAGGCUACUUUUAGUCUACGGGAUGAUGCUUGGAUUCUACCUUGUGAAGGUUCUGCCUUCUAACAUGGACCCUACUACAAGAUUCUGAAGUAUGAUGGAUAGCAUUUUUGGACAAUAUUUUUUACUGCAAUUGGCACAGCUGGGGGACAACAUUUUGGACUAAUAUUUUUGGAUAACAUAUUUGACUUGGACAACUUUUUAGAUAGCAUAGCUGAAAAUUUAGACAGUUGAUUACUCAACUUGUAGCAAUUGUUUUGGAAAAUUGUUGUAACUACUGAAGUUACUUGAACAUGAUGGAUUCUUUGUAUUAGUAGCUUCUACUUAAAUACUACUUAUUUAUGCAAAUGAUGAAUGUUUUAAAUGCAAA